GAUAUUCAGCACACUACUGAAGUCACAUGCAGGGUGCUUGUCACUCAGUGUUCAGUACCUCUGGGAAGGUCUGAGACAAGAGCUGGUAACUCAAGUAGAUGAGUUACCAGCUAUGCUGGGCCCUGAGUGUGGGGCAAAUUGGGCAGGAGAAGCUAGAGGAGCCCCCCUAGUGGAUGCCCAGCCCCCUCCCAAGGGUUUGGGACAGACUCGUGGCUAGCAGCUCUGAGUUCAAUGGGAAGGCCAAAUAUUCAGAGUUUGUU
rnacentral:RNase_P_RNA from 1 species